rnacentral:rRNA from 1 species
GAUGAACGCUGGCGGCGUGCCUAAUACAUGCAAGUCGAGCGAACAGACGAGGAGCUUGCUCCUCUGACGUUAGCGGCGGACGGGUGAGUAACACGUGGAUAACCUACCUAUAAGACUGGGAUAACUUCGGGAAACCGGAGCUAAUACCGGAUAAUAUAUUGAACCGCAUGGUUCAAUAGUGAAAGACGGUUUUGCUGUCACUUAUAGAUGGAUCCGCGCCGCAUUAGCUAGUUGGUAAGGUAACGGCUUACCAAGGCAACGAUGCGUAGCCGACCUGAGAGGGUGAUCGGCCACACUGGAACUGAGACACGGUCCAGACUCCUACGGGAGGCAGCAGUAGGGAAUCUGCCGCAAUGGGCGAAAGCUUGACGGAGCAACGCCGCGUGAGUGAUGAAGGUCUGCGGAUCGUAAAACUCUGUUAUUAGGGAAGAACAAAUGUGUAAGUAACUAUGCACGUCUGGACGGUACCUAAGCAGAAAGCCACGGCUAACUACGU